GUCUGAGAGUCAAGAUUCUCGAUUCAGAGACAAUGGCCCCAAUGGGAUGGAACCGGAAGACGUCAUUGAGAGUAACUGGAAGGAGAGUGUGGAUAGCUUCAAUGACAUGAAUCUCUCAGAAUCCCUCCUCCGUGGUAUUUAUGCCUAUGGUUUUGAGAAGCCCUCUGCCAUCCAGCAGCGAGCUAUUCUUCCUUGUAUCAAGGGUUAUGAUGUGAUUGCUCAAGCCCAGUCUGGGACUGGGAAAACAGCUACAUUUGCCAUAUCGAUUCUGCAGCAGAUUGAAUUAGAUCUAAAGGCCACUCAGGCUUUGGUUCUGGCACCCACUCGUAUGAAUUGGCUCAGCAGAAACAAAAGGUGGUUAUGGCACUGGGAGACUACAUGGGCGCCUCUUGUCAUAUCUGUAUUGGGGGCACCAACAUGCGUGCUAAAAUGCAGAAGAUGCAAAUGGAAGCUCCC
rnacentral:lncRNA from 1 species